UUUUACUAUUUAACAAUAGCAUUUUAUUGCAGGAAUACAAAUAGGGUUAUAUCAAACCCUAAUAAACAGGAGCCGCCUCUACUAUAGCAGAAAAAGGAGAGAGAAAGAGAUAUUACUAUAUAAAGGUGGUUACAUCAUAAUCAUUUUAUAGGCCUGCAGAGGACCAUAUAUUCACUUUAUUACACAAACAUAAUUCAAGGAAGAAGAAGAAUAUAAUUCAAGGUAUGGAUUGCAAAGAGGUCUAAAGGAGCAUGGAAUAGCUUGAAAGAAUGGAAUAAAUAUAUAAUGUAAUAGUAAUAAAUAGAUGUAAUAGUAGUAAAUAGUAAAUAUUGUAAUAGAAUAGAAUAGUAGGAGUAUAUUUAUGGCAGAUAUAGGCCUGUCUCUAUACAAUUUUCCAUAAAAUGACCGAAAAUACAACAAUGAAGCUAAAUUUAAUAGGAUU